CCGACGCGGGGCUUGAACUCACAAACCGUGAGAUCAUGACCUGAGCCCAAGCUGGACGCUUAACCGACUCAGCCACCCAGGCUGCCCCAGAGGUUCUUAAUAAAGAACAUUUUUGAAAGGAUUUAAGAUCUGUUACAAAGUUGCAUAAAAUACAGAGUAGCCAGAUAAGGGGCAACAAACGUACGUUUUUCCCCAAGUUCACAGUUGUACCCCCGGAUGAGGUCGGUGCCUGGCACUGGCCAGCCCCCACUGAUGAUUUGUUGAGUCACCUAAUAAGAUGGGAGAAGGUGGUAUAAAUGCAGAUUGGGUUUAAACCCAAAUAGUAGUGAAUUUCAAAACACAUUUACAUCCUUCCUGAGCAGCUGAGAUGCCCUGAGUUCUCAGCGGGGCUGGCUUGUUUUCUGGGGGAGGAUCUCCCGCCCGGUUUGCCCGUGACUUAAGUGUUGGCCCCUGCCCCUUCCUUGCUUCCAGGGCGGGGUGGGGGUGGGGCUGGCACGCACCUGUUCUGACUGCGGCUUUCGUCUCCCCUCCCCACCAGUGUAACCUGGGGCCGCUUGGUGCCUUAGCCCUGAGGUUUACUGGCACAGCCCUUGGGGGAGCCAUCUGCUGUAUCCGUCCGGAAACCGGGAAUGAACUAGCAGCUGCCCAGCGCGCCCCGAGGCCUGUUCACCUGUGCCCUGGGAGAGGAGGGGUGUGCGGCAGGAGGCGCACGGUUCGCCUCCCUGUUUCCAUCCCACAGCGGGAUCCCCGCGGAGGCUGCAGGGCCCCAGAGCCCGACGCUCGCAGUGCACCAGACAGUGGCACCGGAGCGCGUCGCCAGGGGCCACCUGUGGCCGCUGGUCUCCUGGAGCCACCUGGGGACACGGCUGCCCAGCCCUGCCUGCUGGAGCCCCAGCCCCACCCCGUGGCUCCCUCCCAGCCCUGACCCCUGGCCUCCCCGCGGACGGCCGCUCAUCCGUGUGGAGGGCAUCCAAGUUCUGGUGUCCGUGCUUUCAGUGGGGCACUGGGUCUGGCACAUGGCGCAAGGUGUCCUGCUGGUGCAGGGUGAGCCGGGUGGGGGCACCCUGGGGCUCCCUCUUCCCCCACGGGAGACUGUGUGGGGAGACAGAGGGGCAGGAGGGGACAGGACGUAUGGGCCUCAGGACCCUUCCACGUCAGCCAGCUCCCCCGGAGUCUGUCCAGUGGCCACAGUCCUUGUCCCAGCCUCCAGGCGGCAGUGCCACCUUCACCAGCAUGGCCCAAUGUGUCCGUGAGCCCCAACUGGUCUGGCUGAAGAAUGGGAAGGUGCCGAGUCCUGGGGAUAACGUUCAGCUGACCCACAGCAACAGCACGUUGACCCCGGUGAGGCUCUCAGGGGAGGACGAGGCCACCUACCAGUGUGUGGCAGAGAACAACGCCGGAUGCAGGAGACCAGUGCCCGCCUGGCUGUGACAGGCGACCCAGAGCAACCCCCUGCCCCAGGAGGCCUGUGGACCAUGGCCCUCUCUCCACCUCUGCCACUCAAAUGUCCUGGGAACCACCUGCCUCCAGCGGGGACCGCAUUGGCUACGUGCCGAGCCUCCUUGGGAGGGUGGGUGUGGACCGACACCCCUGUACCUGAUGGGUGGGGCCCCGGGCCAGUUCCCCCCACUCCUCGUGCCCCCCAGCCCUGUCCGGACUCUUGCCGGGCCUCGGGGUCUGUGGCCCUCUGGUGUCUCCCCACGGCCUCCUGCCCUUUCCCUUCCUGGCUCCAACUUCUGUGGCCCCCUCCCUGCUGUGUGGGGACCUGGCACGCACAGCCGAGCACCGGGUGCCCCCUUUGUGGGGUGAAGGGGGUCGGGAUGGGUGCGAGGCUGCCAGACUGCUUUGCUCCUCAGAGGCAGCUGGCCCCAAGCUCCAAGAGGCCGAGGGUAGAGGGCUGCUUUGAGCACGCCUUCUCCCACCUGGCUCCGGCCACGGCCAAGGCCUACUCCAUCUGCGGCAGGGGGUGCCGGCCGGGACUCUGCCUCCAUUGCCGCCUCCACCACGGGCAGCAGGGCAGUCAGCCUCACACCAUCUCCUCUGCAACUCCAGCCACCCUGGGGUUGGUUUCUCCACCAAAGUGCUCAACACACCUCCGUGCAGGCCUCCUGGGGCCAGUCCAUGGCGUCAAACUCUCACCGCAAGCUGCUGGCUGCUCGUUUUGAGGGGCCUCUGCUCCUGCCUGGAAGCGUCAGCUCCUUCCUCUACACAGAUCUGGAGCCGGCCGCCCUGUACCAGAUCAAGCUGCAGGCGUUCAAGGACCUUGGGGAUGGUUAACAGCAGCUCCCGCUUUGUCUCCCUGCGUGAGGUGGCCCUGGCCACCCCUGGUGAGUGGGGUCCUGAGGCAGGGAGGCAGGUGGGCAAAGGAGCCCCUCCCUGCCCCUUGGUCCUAACAUGAGUCCUGACCAGCUGAACUGAUGCGAGCUGCUUCUCUGAGCCGCCAUAUGGCCAUCUCCCCCCUUUUCAGACCCAAAGCACUGGGCCCUCUUCAAGGGCAUCCCUCCCCAUCUGACUUUUUUUUUUUUUUUUCAACGUUUUUUAUUUAUUUUGGGAUAGAGAGAGAGACAGAGCAUGAACGGGGGAGGGGCAGAGAG